rnacentral:lncRNA from 7 species
UGCUGGAUGUUUCUGCAUACCUUUUUAUUUUGCAGAAUCGCUCCAGAAAGAGAUGAAUGGCACACAAGGAACGGCUUCUGCCUUACGGGCAUUACUAAAACCCUCACCUCGCCCAUGCGCCCCUACGGCACGCAGGUCAACCGGUGAGCGCUGUGCUUCAGCUCCCUUUCUGCGCCCCGAAGACACGCACGUGGCCACGCGCGGCAGCAGGAAACACCAUGAGGCAGAACCGGAAGGACUGCGGGGCUGCAUGCCACGGCCACGCCAAUCCCAACUUCUGGGCAGGAAACGUAUGCCAUGGCAGAGCGCUGAAGAUGACUCAAAUCGCCUCUCCCCCACCCUCCGGUGCCACGGAACAACAGCCCUCUUCAGCCAGGGGAGGGGGACCACGUGGAGGGAUGACUCAAAGCUCUGGGAUAGGGGAAAAACCCACAGAGCAGAGCACACAGCCCACCCCCCCAAACUCACACCGCCUCAUGUUAUAUUAAUUAAACACACAACAACUGCCUUGAGGUAAUAAACACUACAAAGGCAAAGCCAUCUCGUCCUACCGCAAGAUAAGUUUACUGAGGUCAAACCCCAGGGAAAACUAAUCUAACCACAUUUUCAAAUUGUUUGGAAUAUUCCAUAGCCCAACAAAACCAUAAAUUGACAAAAACAUCCUAUCCUAGAAUAGCGUGGGGAUAACAAAGAAUGUUUUGUUUAAUUAAAGGCAGAUGACCUAAUAAAAGUUUCACACUCACAGUGCG